rnacentral:lncRNA from 1 species
UGGUUGUGCACAUAAAACGAGUUUAAUCACUAAGAGUCCUAUAUAUGCGCCGUAAAACUAAUUUUUCUCGAAUGAAUUGAAUUGUUUUUAAAUUUUUCUUUUUGGAUUCUCUUAUAGCUUGUUGUGCGGUAAUGGUUUUCAUCAAUGUUGAAGACUGUACUAUGAAUUAUACUUGUUCACUUCAUCAUCAUUUAAUGUCUGGUGGAAAAAAUUGUUUCUCUCG